AGGUCCAACAGCUACUCGCGGACAGCGCGCCUCGUUUUCCGCGCGGCAGCCGAGAGAGGACGGUUCGGAAAUAACUGCUAGCUAUGCGGGUGGGCGGGAAGAACUGCUACCUAUGCGGAUGGGAAAGCGGCUGAGCCUUCCAGUCGGUAGCUGGGCUCUUGGAGGGAGAUGGGUGUUUCCGGAUGUACAUCAGUCAACUGCGGGGAGACUGGAAAACAUGCUGGCAAUUCAAAAACGUUUAAAAAUGGUAAGGCAUCUGUGAGACGUGGUAUAUUCCUGGGUUUUUUUUUUUUUUCUUCCCGAUUUGAAAUACAUUGUUUCAUUUGAAGUAAUUUUAAGAGUUAGCUGUCAACAGGAUGAAUGUAAUGGUUCUAUAAUCCGUGGAUUCCUUAAUUUUAAGCCCUAUGUGGUUUGAAUUGUUGCUAAGUGCUGGGAUUUCUAGAAAUUUACAAGCUAAGUGUUUGUUUGAUAAAAAUACAGGUAGUGCAUGAAAGUCUGAAACAUAAAUACAAAAGAACUCAACGACCCAUUUAAAAGCGGUAAUAUUGCCAAUGCUGUGUUACCUCCCACCCCCAUUCCCCUGCCCCCCAUCUAGUAGUACCUAUCUCUAGUUUUGUGUCCAUCGGUUUCUUGAUCCUGUGGCUGGGAGGUGAGAUGGAUAGUUUAUUAUUCAUAUGUAUCUUUAAACAUAGGCAUUAUAAGAAUGAGUAUGCAUGUAGUUGUCUGUAGUUCCUGUGAAUCAUAAUACUAAACUGAAAUUUUCCAAAUUAGAAUUAUUCACAAGCAGUAAUUUUAUUCCUCAUACUCAAGUGAAAUAUUUCAGCAUUUCAAGACAUGAAAAUAAUGAUAGUUUAGCAGGGUCCAAACUUGUAUGUCUUCAUAAAUCAUAUCAAUAAUUGUCUAGCUCAAUGAUUUAUACUCCUGAGGUGCUGUGUGACAUUUGUGUGGCCCUGGCCAUCUCCUUUGCCCUGUUUGUGUACAUUCAGUUAACUUAAACUUAAUUCUGUAGGAAUGUGUCUGGUAAUGCUGACAGUGUAAGGCAUCCCUUCUCCAAAACUACUAGAUUUGCCAUUGUACUGUUUUCAGGUGAAAAUCUUCACCCUAGUUUCUGUACAUCUAGCAUUUAACCUGACUUAGUGCAUUCUAGUCAAGCUCUAGGACAGAAAAGCAAUGGUUGUCUACUCAUUAGGACCAUUGUGUCUUAAAAUCAAUACUGUGAUGAUGAAGGAUAUAAAAUGUUUCCAUCAUUUAUGUAAUUUUUAGGUACUAACCAAUCAAAAGAUUUAAAACACUCAAGUCAUUAACAGAUGUUUUUAAAUUUCGCGUUUGUCAGUUAAUACUAUCAGAAGUAAUGAAACAGGAAUUGUGUUCUUUUAUUCCAUUAGAAAUGUAUUGAACAAGAGAUACUGGUACUUUUAUUAAAAAGUGGGUUGGAGUCCCAAAAGGUAGGUUGGGUUCCUUAGAGGAAUGACAUUUUGUUGUUGUUGAGACAGGGUCCCACCCUAUGCCCCUGAGCAGAGUGCAGUGGGCGUGGUAGCUCACCACAGCCUCAGACUCAGGCUGCAGGCACCCCUCUGCCUCAGCCUCCGGAUGCCGCUGGGAUUACAUGUGCUCAAGGCAGCACCCGGCUGGGUUUUUCCAUUUUUUUCAUGAAUCGGGGUCUCACUGUCGCUCAGGCAAGUCUCUAACUCCUGAGCUCAAGCAAUUGAUUCUCCCUCCUCAGCCUCCCACAGUGCUGGGAUUACAGGCAUGAGCCACUGCGCCCGGCAGGAAUGAAAUUUUUAUUAGACUAUUCCUUCAUAUAACAUGCCAAACAAAUGCAAUUACAAAUGGGAAUUGACAGUGAAAAUUUAAUUUUUAGGUCUGACAAAUCCUAUGAAUUUUGAAGGUGUGUGAAGGUCAUUGUGACAGAUGUUUUCCAAAAGCUUAACAGAAAAUGGCAAUGAAAAAGUAGAACCGCCACUGCAUAUAUUGAGGUACAAAAAGUGUUAAAUGACAUCUUUUUGGGAAUCGUGGUGCUAUUGUUACUAACAAGCAAUACACAAAAUGUUUGAUGUGUUAUCGACGUUGAUAAUGGUGGCAUAAUGAUGACUUAAAUUUUUGCCGUUUACCCAGCUGAGGAUAUCUUUGAAGAAAUAAUUCUUAGACUGAGAUGCCAGUAAACUAUAUUGGUUUAUGUUAAUGGUAUGUAGUACAAUUUUUUACUAAGAGGCUAAAUGUUCUUUCUCCUUAGCACAUAGGUAGCUGCAGAUGGAUGUCCUUUAGCUGCAGUUUUUUGAAAUACUCCUUUGUUGCCUCAGAGGUGUGCCAUGCAACAUUAUGGAAGAAAGAACGAAGACUGCAAGAAAACAGAUGAACAGAAGCAAAUGAUGAAAAUGAAUACUUUACUUGGUUUUACUAACUUCAUUAUAAAUGAUAUAGAAAAUAAAUGUAGGAAUGAAGAAAAAAUGAUUUCCUCAAGUCACUUAUUCAUCACUAGAGAAGAUACCUGUCCCUGGUCCAUAUGUGGCAAUAAACUGUUCGAGCUGUCGUUGGCACUGAGUCAGGACAUUUGGGCUUCCAGGACAGUUUUGUCACAUCAGGUGUUUUCAGUGUGACUGAGCUAGUGAGAGUGUCACAGAAUCUUUAGGUUUGUCAGGGUGCAUUUCACAAGAUUGCCGUGGCUGCUGGGAUAGGGAUACCCCAGCUCAGAUCCCCUCACCCGCAGCCCUUUCUGAAGUACUUGAUCCUCAAGACACAUGACGGAGUUGACAUCCUUGACCAUUCCGUCCAGUCCCGCCCUCUUCCUCGUAUCCCUGUGUUGGAAGAACUAAGCUUCCAUUUCAGAGCUGCCGUGGCACUUUCUACAGAUGGGGGAGUGGGGUACAUUCUGUAUCCUUGAAGUAAAAAUAACCUAAUGGUCAUAUAGGUUGAUUAAACAUGCACACCCUGUUAGGAGUCUGAUAUAAUCCUAAUAUGAAAAAUCAUAGAAGCUAGCAUUCCUCAAGCUUAUACUGUGUACCGGGCACUGUGCUGGGCACUUUGGAAAUGUCAUCUCAUUCAGUCCUCCCCAGUUGGUGUCAGUGUCCCUUUCUACAGGGGAAGGGGUGCCAUGAUGCUCCAGGAGGGUAAGCAGCCUGCUCUUUUCCCUUUGCUGCGCUCAGCUAGCUGCACACGCACCUUUGUCCUGACCUCCCCACAAGUGCCUUAUAGAGCCAAACAGGAUACAAGAUGUGUGCUUUUAUUGAGUAAUAGUUCUUGUUGAUUUGAUAAAUUUAUAACGUACUACUUUGAGCACUAAAAAACGGUUUACACUAUCUUCUUGUAAACCAAAGCAAAUAAAACAAUUUUUUUCCUGGAUUGGUUUCCAGGUAUGAUUUUGUUUUAAAUUACUAGAUUUUUUUCCAACUAGAAUUUAGGUUUAUAGUUGUAGGCUAACUCAAAGUAAAGAUGUCCCUUCUACCUCUGUCCCCCCAGAACAGUUUCCCGUACUGUUGACAUCUUUUGUGAGGGUGGCACAUUUUUACAGAUUCAUGAGCCGAUGUUGAGGCAUACUCUACCCAGGGUGACAGCUUGAGGCUCUGUCUCAAAAAAAAUGAACAUAAAAGUGGAGGGUAAAGGACCUAGCCAAGGUCCUAGUGAAGCCUAGGAAAUAGGGUUGCUUUUAGAGUAUAACCCAUAUGCUUUAGCUUUUAUUUUACAUUAGUUGGGUCACACUAGGAUAGGUGGUUAACACGAUUAUUAUCGAGAAAUAUCACGAAGUGCGUCCUUCCUGCAUAACGGUGCUCUCCUAUCUGAGGAUAUGAAGACGUAUCUAAACUAAAGUACAUGGAUUUGACUUACAAGCAAUUUAUUUUAGUACUAAUAAAAUAAUUCUCAUUUCUAAUUCUGGGAGUCUUGUCCAUUGUUUGCUUUCUUUGGGGAACCAUUUCACUUCCAGCCCAUUGGCUCUUUGUAUCUGAAAUAACAAUAUGAUUGUGAUAUUUCUCUCUUUGGCUAACCUUAUGUGUGCAUUCCUCUAGAUAUUCAAAUUCAUACAAUUGCAAUAUUCCAUAAAACAAAAUAAUUUCAAAUUUCUUGUGUCCUGAGGUCUCUGUCACAGAUUUCCUUACAGUGCGUUAGUUGAAUCAUCGAUGAGAUAAGAUUAGAGAUCAUUGAUAGCCACUAUUGUCAGAAAUAUUUACAAGAAGGAACCUUUACAACAACCUUACAAUUGGCACUUAUGAAAACAGAGGGGUGAGAAAAUGGCCAUUACAAAUGACUUUUUAAAAAACAGAGGAAAGGAGCAAGUGAAAUAUUUUCUAAAAAACCUUAUAUGCAAUGACGCUUCUAAAAAGUUAUGUGU